rnacentral:siRNA from 1 species
GGACCCGCGUACGAGUUGUUCGGA